UACCUCUCAGGGUCACACCUGGAGAGUUUCCAGUACUCUACCAGUCUCGACUACGGGAGGGAGAGUCAAGCAGAGGCCUACCCAUUUCAUUCCUAGCUUAGGCAGUGGGUAGCAAGUGGAAGGCAAUCUGCUACAAGU
rnacentral:snoRNA from 2 species